UGUAAAUCCUCUCCUCUCUUCAUCUUUCUUCUCCUAGGUGUUUAUGUCGCUAUUCUCCCUCACUUCAUCUUCUCUUACCCAUUAGUUUUGUACCAUAUUUUGUUUUUUUGAUUCUCAACAGCAUAAAGUAUGACUUUCAGAAAUCUUUCUUCAAUGCUCUUCUGAACCUUGCCCUUGUUAAUUUUUAACAUUUCCUUUUUCGUUCGGUGGAAAUCGCCGAGAGGUUGAGUCAUGGACAAGCCUUAGCUCCUUCUACCACAUCCGAGGGUCCAUUCAGCCAUGGUCGCUGGAACUUUUGUGAAAGUUGGCGUAUGACAUGCCAUUACAUGGAUAUAUAUGUAUACGGUAAGGACGUUGAUUUCAUAUAGCAUUCCAAACAUCUGAACUGGUAAGCACAUUUUUCCUCCCGAUUUUCAUAUAAUAAAUGGCCAAUGGAAAGCUUACCAUCUUAUAGUUAACGACAAAUAUUACUGCGUUAAUUCUCAAUGGAUUGUUUUAUUUUAAUUUUUUCAGAAAAGUCGUGUAUGAGUGGCAAUUCAGUGUAUUGGACAAUAUGGUAGUUGUUAGUGGAUACUGCCCCAUGCUUCGAAGAUCUAGAAACAUUGAGUGCAGCUUCUCCAAAUCAUUGUAGGAACUUAGUAUCAAGAAUGCACCAAACAUGGCUCCUUAUCUCCAUUUAGUUGCUAGCGAUUUGACACACUCGUUGAACAUGUGAGAACACGCAGGCAGGUAGACAGAUUCUUGUGUAGUUUGUUUGGGGAGGCUGCAUUAUUAACACUUCAAGUUUGAGAAAAGACUCUUGAAAAUGGUUGGUUUCUAUAGCAUGCUGCAUGUUUUGUGUGUGUUUAUGUUUGUGUUUGUCUUUUUCACAUUUUACUUUCAUUUAUAGCAUAUUACACUUAAAUCAUGGUCCUAAUCUAUUUCAAGGUGAGAAGUGGGAUCCUGAAAAACUGAGUAGAGAAAGAGAAACUUGAAAGGCAACAAAGUUUACUUGUAAUUCUGACAUUAGUGUUUGUUCUAUGAUUUGCCUGUUUCCUAAUUUGUUUGUAUAAAUCUCAACGUGCCUCUAUUUUCCUCAUUAGAAAAAAGCUUGAUUGCAAUUAGUGUAGUGUGACAUUAUAAUCUUUUGUGUUACCUGUUCAAGAUUAUUUGUUGGAAAGAGUUUAUGUCAUCUCAGGAUAUUAUUUU